ACGCUGGCGGCGUGCCUAAUACAUGCAAGUAGAACGCUGAAGGAGGAGCUUGCUUCUCCGGAUGAGUUGCGAACGGGUGAGUAACGCGUAGGUAACCUGCCUGGUAGCGGGGGAUAACUAUUGGAAACGAUAGCUAAUACCGCAUAAGAGUAGAUGUUGCAUGACAUUUGCUUAAAAGGUGCAAUUGCAUCACUACCAGAUGGACCUGCGUUGUAUUAGCUAGUUGGUGGGGUAACGGCUCACCAAGGCGACGAUACAUAGCCGACCUGAGAGGGUGAUCGGCCACACUAGGACUGAGACACGGCCCAGACUCCUACGGGAAGCAGCAGUAGGGAAUCUUCGGCAAUGGACGGAAGUCUGACCGAGCAACGCCGCGUGAGUGAAGAAGGUUUUCGGAUCGUAAAGCUCUGUUGUAAGAGAAGAACGAGUGUGAGAGUGGAAAGUUCACACUGUGACGGUAUCUUACCAGAAAGGGACGGCUAACUACGUGCCAGCAGCCGCGGUAAUACGUAGGUCCCGAGCGUUGUCCGGAUUUAUUGGGCGUAAAGCGAGCGCAGGCGGUUAGAUAAGUCUGAAGUUAAAGGCUGUGGCUUAACCAUAGUACGCUUUGGAAACUGUUUAACUUGAGUGCAAGAGGGGAGAGUGGAAUUCCAUGUGUAGCGGUGAAAUGCGUAGAUAUAUGGAGGAACACCGGUGGCGAAAGCGGCUCUCUGGCUUGUAACUGACGCUGAGGCUCGAAAGCGUGGGGAGCAAACAGGAUUAGAUACCCUGGUAGUCCACGCCGUAAACGAUGAGUGCUAGGUGUUAGACCCUUUCCGGGGUUUAGUGCCGCAGCUAACGCAUUAAGCACUCCGCCUGGGGAGUACGACCGCAAGGUUGAAACUCAAAGGAAUUGACGGGGGCCCGCACA
rnacentral:rRNA from 1 species